GCGAAGGCGGCGAACAUGACGACGGGGGGUGAAGAGCUCCCGUCCUCCCGCGGACACUCCCACAGUCCGCCGCUCGACCAAGCGUCGUCUUUGCCCGUAAAGGACGCGGAUUUCCCUUUCGCUGUUGUGACACUGCAGUGCUGGGACGGCGUGGCCACGGGAAAGAAUUGAGCUGAAGUGUCUCACAACGAUAAGACGUCCCCAGUCUCCUGUUGGAUGGAGGCAAGUUUCUGUUGAUGCCAUCGUGUAACUGAUCCGAGGUAGAGGAAAGGCCUUUCUUGGCGUUGGUGGCAGUCUACUGAGCACGUAGCUGUUGUGACAUAUUUGAUUCUGAGCCUUUAUUUUUAUUUUACGAUUGUA